AAACUCUAGGAUGCUGCCAUCUAUCCCUUCAGAUUUGAGACCACAUGACUUAGCCCAGUUUGUUUUGUCCGAACUCAUUCUUUCUUCUUUAACUUUCAAACCUUUCUUCUUCUCUUCUUCUCUGCUUUGUGAGCAUCCAUGGUGAGAUUGGUUUCCAACAUCCCCCUCAAGUUGGAGGGGAACGACGAGAUCCCCAACUUGCUAAGAAUCGAACGACUAGAAGGCCCUGAAGCGGCUUAGUAAAUAGAUCGGCAAGCUAAAAUUUUGAUGGCACAAAAGAGAGGAAAGUUAGGCCGGUAAGAAAUUAUUGUCUAACAAAUGGCAGUCUAGCUCCACAUAUUUGGUGCACUCAUGAAAUAUAGGGUUUCGUGCAAUAUGAAUGGCGGAUUGACUAUCAGAGAGAACGGGAACCAACAACGAAGGUGGUACGGAAAGAUCGUCAAGGAGGCAAGUGAGCCAUGUUAAUUCGGCAACAACCUUGCGCAUUGAAUGAUACUUCGCCUCAGCGGAGGACAAGGACAAAAAGGCACGUUUCUUUAACUUCCAGGAAAUAGAAGACCCACUAAAUGCGAUAUAAAAUUCACUAACAGACUGCCUGGUUUAUGGGCAUUAAGCUCAGUCGGCAUCGCAAAAAGCAACAAGCUUUAGGGAUGGGGUUGUAUUAAGGAUGAUCCCUUGAUCUGGAUCUGUUUUUAGAUAUCGUAAAACUCGAAGGGCUGCGGUGAGAUGAGAAAGUUUGGGGCUUUUCAUGAAUUGGCUUAAUUGAAGAACAACAAAUGAUAGAUCUGGCCUCAUAUGAGUCAAAUAGUUUAACUUUGCCACAAGAUAUCAGUAGAGUGUUGGAUUUGAGAGAGGAGGCCAUGAUUCUGCUGUAAGCUUGGAUGAAGGGUCGAGGGGAGAAGCUACACAAGAGGAAUCUGCAAUGUCAAAUUCAUUCCGCAAGUCUAAGAUGAUGUAAUUUUGCACCAUUCGACUGUCCAAAUCUACGUUCUAAACUGGGCUAUAAAUUCCUUGCAGAUUUGGAGUAGAUUACACUAUCUCCAGUGUCUUUGGAGAGAGAAUUCAGCAUCCAGGAUAUAACUAUAUCAUUGCGUCUACUCCAUGAUUGAAAAUCUGUGAAAAUUGGAGCUGGACCUGGACAAUUCCCAUUUAUAACGCGCAACUUGUUCUUUGCUGCAAGAGCUAUCAAGACAGAUCUCUUUUAGCCAUGAUAGACUCUUCCACCAAAGAUAGCAUUCACCAAGCUCAUGCCAGGUGCGUCUGAGGAGUGAAGGAAGUAAAGGUAAUUUGGAUCGAAAUUGGGUCCAUUUCCCGUUGAAGACCCACUUGGAUCGAGCUACUGCUCUGAUACCAUGAAACAAAGAAGAGAAAAUGUGAAAUUUUUUCUGUAUUUCUGAUUGAAUUCUUUCUGUACAAGCAAUAUACAAGUAUGUUCCUAGUAAAAGAAAACUAGAAUGAAAAAUGAAAAUAAAAGAAUCCUGUAGUAUUUGUACAUUUGUUAUGUUUGUACUAGACUAAUUAUAACAAAAUAACCAACUAAUAUUCCUUUCCUA